GACGAACGCUGGCGGCGUGCUUAACACAUGCAAGUCGAACGGAAAGGCCCUGCUUUUGUGGGGUGCUCGAGUGGCGAACGGGUGAGUAACACGUGAGUAACCUGCCCUUGACUUUGGGAUAACUUCAGGAAACUGGGGCUAAUACCGGAUAGGAGCUCCUGCUGCAUGGUGGGGGUUGGAAAGUUUCGGCGGUUGGGGAUGGACUCGCGGCUUAUCAGCUUGUUGGUGGGGUAGUGGCUUACCAAGGCUGUGACGGGUAGCCGGCCUGAGAGGGUGACCGGCCACAUUGGGACUGAGAGACGGCCCAGACUCCUACGGGAGGCAGCAGUGGGGAAUAUUGCACAAUGGGCGGAAGCCUGAUGCAGCAACGCCGCGUGCGGGAUGACGGCCUUCGGGUUGUAAACCGCUUUCGCCUGUGACGAAGCGUGAGUGACGGUAAUGGGUAAAGAAGCACCGGCUAACUACGUG
rnacentral:rRNA from 1 species